CACUGUCUCUCCAUCCGAGAGCAGCAUCCCACCUAGCCCCAGCUUUAUUCUCUUGUCUGUCUUCUUUAAUUUUUCAUCACCCCUCCUCAGGUUCACCCCUCUCCAUGCCGAGUGCGGCACAGUUCUCAGGUGAGGAUAAAAUAAAAAUAAACUUCAAGGAAGAAAAUGAUGCCAACAGUAUGGUGUCAUUUGCAAGAAAUGAUGCCACAGGCCUCUGAUCUCACACCGGGAAACGGAAGCACUCGUCCUAUAGCCAGGUCUGGAUUCUGGGCUCCACAUCAAGGCAUCAGGAACUGGGAGAGGCGGACCUGUCUUCCCUCAGGUGACGUCAUCCAUGCUCUAGGCAGUCUGCCCUUGUGGGAGGUGCCUAUCCCAUGGUCGCCUUGAAAACCUGUCUCUGCAAUUGUCAUUUGAAGCUCUCCUCCCUCGCAACUAGGCAAACACUGGGUGGAGGAGAGAGAAACACGGGCACUACCUUAAAACUACCAAGCCUGAUGUCCCUGCCACAAAAAUUCCUUCCACUUGAAGGAAGCGUGGCUGACUCCGCCUCCUGCUCUUCGUUCUUCACACCUCAGGACAGGAGGGAGGAGGUCCUAUUGUUUGGUUAGGUCAGGCGCGCAGUACUUCUCACAUUUCCAUUUACAGAUGAGGGACAGCGGCCCAGGUGUGGAUGUGGCCUGCCCACAGUCGCUCAGCAGUCAGCGGCCACACUGAGAAGGGAAACCAGUUGUCUGGGGCGGGGUCAGUUUGUCUCUCUGCUGUCAGGUGUGAAUCUGUUUUGGUUUUAAGAGGCAGGCAGCGAAAGAGAAACUGGCCGACUCAAGCCUGUAUUUCCAUCCACCCACUGGUCUUCCUCCUCCUUUAUGUAAAGAGGUUUGGUUUUGUUCCAACAAAUAAGGAAGAUUCUGAGAUGACUAUAGAACCUUGCCUUUUGAUUUUAACAGAUUUCUCAAGCUCAGGUGUCACAAGGCAGUUCUUAAGAAAAAGACCAGCAUCCUCACGACAGUCAGUGAAAGAGAAAAUAGAAGAGGAAAGCAUUGAAGUGUUUCUUAUUUAAGAGUUUCCCCCAACUAAUAAACACCAAUUUAUAUGUUGGAAGGACUAUCUGAGUGUCCAUCACAGAAGAUGACAGGCUAUCUGGAAUGGUGAUGUUUCUAAAACAUGGUGGAUAAAGAGCACAGUCCGAAAAGCUUCUGAAGAGAGGCGGGCGGGCGGGUGCUCAAGGUCAGAUACAGAGGAGCAGGCGUCAGGAGGAUUGGGUUUCUCAAUAGUAACCCUGGAAGCUAGACCAUACGGACCCUUGCUUUCAAUAUUCUGUGCGAAAAGCAUUUUCAACCUAGAAUUUUACGUUUGGUCAAACUCUCAAGCAAGGACAUUUUCUGACAAGCCAGGUCUUAAAUAUUUGCCACCUCCUGAGAGAUGCUGAGAAUGGCCAGCUAACCUCCAUAUUUGGCUGAAGCCCAAAGCCACCAUCAUCCAAUGAGCUUUUGAGACACGUGACUACAUCAGAAAUUUUAUUUUUAAAGAAGACUACUUAAUAUGUUUUGAAUAUUCCAAGUUUCAGAGGUUGGUCUUUAAAGUUCGGAGUUAGAACCAGCAGCCAUCAUUUGUCAGCACUGGAAGCGGCUCGCUGACGCCUGUGGUCAUUGUGUUUGUCACACACAGAUGCCCACUUCCCGCUCAGGUUUGGGGGCAGGGUGGGGGGGAGAGAAAGGUAUUUUUAGUGUCUCCUUGCCAGUACUGCGGAGUUAUUCUUUUCUUUUCUCCACAUAACUAAGGUAAUGUUUAUUUCGUUUUUAACUCCUACUUAGAGAUUUGGUUGCUGAUGAAGAUGCUACUUAACUGAAGUUCUGUACUGUUGGAAUAUCUUCAUAACGAAACUUUAGAUUUUUGUUCUGACACCAAUUUGUACUUUUUGAAACCUUGGAUAAACAGGUGUGGAAAUAAAGUAACAAGACUAGCUUUCAGAAUAACAAUCUGUAAAUUUCCAUCUGCAUCGGAGAUUUUAUUGCAUGCACGCCAAAUUCAGCAUUUUCCCUAGAGAAGAAAGAAGGGGGGGGGGUCUUUUUUUUAACCGGACUAACUUAAGAAAAAGGGGCACUGUCAAGGUUCAUUAUUCCGGUUACUUCUACAGCAGAUUCUAGCAAAUGAAUUAGUUUCUCUGCAAAUCAGCUUGUGGGUGUUAGCAAAUCCCACUCAGCUGGUAUUACUAUAUAGUAAGUCAUUUUUUAAAAAUAAUCAAGUCUGCUUUUUCAUCUUGUUUGACGAUCUCACAUAAAUAAAUGGCAAAACAAUUCCAGAGUCACAUACUUUCUCUUUGGCUAAAGAAGAAGAAUGAUGAAAAUGGCCCACUAUUUUGUUUCGGCCUGUAAUUCUGGUCAAAUAUGCAGUUAUAAUUUCAUUCUUAAUAUACAGUUUAAGGAUGCAUACAAAAUUUUUUGCUUGUGAUUCCUAAAUCACUUACUUCCUUCACUAUGAUUUUUCUAUUGGCAACCUAAAGAUUGGUUUUCUAUCUUAUGAAUAUGUUUUCUACCAGUUUCAUCGUUCUCUUGCUGAGACUUUCCCAGCUAGAACACCGUAACUAAACACCGAGAGAGAAAACAUACAGCAUCAACAUUCUCACAGAUAAUCCUGGUUUUGAAGUUAUCAGACAUUAUUCUAAAAAAUAAUUGAUUGGUAUUUUUUAAGAACAGAUGACAAGACGGAAAUUUCACCAGAGAAUUGAAACCUAUAAAAAGAGUCACAUGGAAAUGACAGGACUGAAAAAAACAACUGAAAUGAAGCAUUCCCUGAUUAGCUGAACUUCUUACACAGCAGAAGAGAGAAUUCAUGGCGAGGAAGACAGGUUAAUAGAAAACACCGAAGUGAGGAGAGAGAGAAAAAAGAUGGAAAACAGACAGAGUGGGAGAUGCAUGUGAAACAAAGAAAGGGGCUAGUACGAAUGUUAUUAAUGUCUCAGAAGGAGAGAGAAAAGAGAAGGGGACAGAGGACACUUUAAGAACCACUAGCCAAGUGAGAAGAAAAUGUUUUCUUUACCUCGUUUUGUCCUAAAAACUUUCUUUUUUACACAUUACUUAUAUAUUUAUUAUUAUGUCUGCGUUGAAGAUGAUUCACCAUGGAUGAUGUUUGAAGUUUUUUCCUCCUUAUGAAAUGUUGAAGGGACAAAGUACCUCCUCACAGGUCAUGGCAAAAUUUCUUGAAAUAGCCGUGGCCUAAAUAGAAUUAAAUAACAAAAAGUGAAACAUAGUUCUUAAAGUUUAUUUUGUUAGUGUUGUGAAUGCUGGUACAUAAACCAUUCUGUGAUGAUUCAAAUUAUGUUGUAAUGUAACCUCUAUUAUCCUUUUUGUGGAGCUUAACUUUUUUUAACAUUUUUAGUUCAAAAAUUUCUUCAAAUAGUUAUCUGACUAACCACUCUAUCUUACCCUUCAUAUCGACUGAUAAUCUGUUUCCUAUGUAUUCAACUAUUCAAAUGUUUUUUCAUAAUAGUUUUUAAAUAGAAUAACUCAUUAAUUAUGGCAGCAUUUCAAUGCUGAAGAAUUAGACAUACAUUUAUAUUCAACUUAUUUAUAGAAUUAAAACAUAUCCUAUACACAAGGAGAUACUCCAAAAUACAUCUAAAAUGAUGACUUAUACUUGAAGGUAAAUAUUCUAAUAUUGUGCUAAUUAUUACUGACAUGUUGGUGCUAAUUAGAUAUGACAGUGACUCUCAAGGUCACACAAUUAUUGGCUGUCACAAACUCAUGGAUGCCAGGAGUUAUGUUGAAGCAUGCCUUUGGGUCUCUGGCCUUCUCAAGUCUGAGGCUCAAUACCAAGGCCAAAACUAGUUCCCAGCCCAUGCAUACUAUCCCCCAUUUCUCAGGGGGUCUUCUACCAAAAUGAAUGUGUGAACCAAGAAAGAAGAAAGCAUGGGAUUCAGGCAACACGAGGUCCAGCUUAACGGAGGGAGGAAGCAAAUCUCUAGUUGAUGGUGAAAGGAGGCUUUGGGUCCACAGCUGUGAAACAGGUGUAGCUGGCAACCAGUCCAGAGGAUCCAUAGAUAGAGCUCCAGGAAGUUGAACUUGAUAGAAUAUCUGAUGUGUCUGAAGGACAGGGGAAGUGGGGAAGGGUUUAGAUGGAGAGGUGAGAGCUGAGGUUAGGGUUAGGGUUAGAGUUAGGGUUAAGGUUAGUGAUAGCUAUGGAAACUUGUAUCAGACACGCACUCUACGAGCCUCUUCUAGCUGUUGCUGCAAUGGGCCAACCAGCAGUCCCCAGAGUUUGUGUUCUCUCAUCACGGCCAGCGUUGGAUGAGACCCUUUGCCACGGGGUGUGGGACCUGGGCAGCCCAAGAAGAGGCCGGAUAAUGCAACCUGGAUGUGCCUGGAAAUACAUUCACAGUGAGAAAACAUUACCGAAGUGAGAGACCAGAGACAGGAAGGAGGCGACCGAUGAAUUCUCUUUCCUUCUUCUCUUCCAUGGCGGAUUGCAAAGAUGUGGUUUCACCUUGCAGCUCGCUCAGCUGGAGAAAUCGCAGGUGCAAAUGAACAUACCUGGCCACGCCACUGGCUGCAGCUCUUUGUGGCUCUCGAAGAGCUCACCACUUUGCAUUGUUGCCUGUCUUCAAAAGAUACAUUUAAAAACGCAUUUCCAGUGCUAGUUAUGACAAAGGGCAAGACUGUGGUUGUGUUGCUCUUCACUCUAAGGCGGAGUUAGGGUAAGUGUCUGUUUCACUUCUAAGGGAACUUGAAGUUUUCUGGAGUAAUUGUGCCUUUUUCUGUUUCCUCUAGCUCAGGUGAUCUGCCUGUGAUGCUCCUCAAAGGAGUGGACGUCUCGUCAGAACUUCCUGCAGUCGGCAGUGGGCCCGCAUCACCUGCAGUGAUGGUGAGGAGCCCCCGGCUGGUGCUGCGUGAGUCAGACCCAACCUGCACCCUCACUCCGAGGCCACUGAGCAUCAGACACGGGGCUUCCCCCUGCCCGGGUGGACUCUGCCCUGUCCCUGGCGGGAGUCCAGCUGCUGGCAGCUCUGGCAGCCGCUGCAAAUCAGAAACCAGGGCCGUGGAUGGAGCUGCUUGAAAGCACCCUCUCAGGCAGGAGCUUCUGUUGUGCCGGCCAAGAAGCCUGGUGGUUUCCUAGGACAGCGCUGUCCAGGCUGGUGGCUGGAGUUGUCCAGGGCGUAGACCCAUCGAGGGAGGGAUUGCGUUAGCCUGGGAGGAGGCACCCACUAAGCGCCAGAUGCCCCGCUCGGUCCUUUGUGAGCACGGUCGCUAACCCCACAACAACUCGUCAGGUUUGUAAGUCUUGUUCUGUCCUGGAGAUGAGAAGCUGGUGUUCAGAGAGGUCAAGUAACUGGCCAAAGGCACAGAGCACUAACUGGGGGAUCAAAGAUCCAUCCAUCCGUCCAUCCGUCCAUCCAGUGCCCCGUGUUUCCCACUAACAUCCCACUGGCCCCCUUCCAGAAGCAGGCCAGGCAGUGGUGCUGGAUGCUGAGAACAAGCAGUUGGUGCAGAGGUUCCCAGGGAGAAGGGUCCCAGCAUCUGUCUGCUCCCAGAUCACUGCCACAGCCGGGGCUAGGGGACAGCUCGAGCCAACGGCAGCACCUGUGAGGCUCCGGCAAAGGGCUUCAUCAUUGUCAUCGUCACGGCUGUCAUUGUGGUUUGGCUGCACGCUCCACAGCCGAUGAAAGCCUUGCACAUCCCUCCUUUUAUUUGAACUAUAACACCUUGCCAAGUAGAUGUUAACGAUUCUCAGAAUGAAACUCAGAAACGUCCUUCCUCCCACAAUCUUCCUUCCCCGUGAGUGGUCAGGGUAGCCCCUCUGGGGGGGCGGGAGGGAGGAGCCAGCUCCCCACCUGGGCAGUGAGGGGCCCGGCCAGGUAUCUGUGGACGGAUGGACGGACGGACGGACGUGAGUCCUCACCCAGGUGAGGGCGGAAGACGCCAGGCCCCGGGGAUCAGCUAGCAUUUGAAUUCAGCCGCAGAACAGCAAAUAUUGAUUCAAGAAGCUGCCCAAAGGAGCUGACAUUUUUAUAGUCAACAAAUCAAACCCAGCCCCUCCCAGCGCCCCCGGGCACAGGCCCUUCCUCUCCAGGCUGCCAGGGCCCAGCUCUGCCACCGCCCUGGGAAGAGGAGGAAGAGCGGGUGGGAAAGGUCCACAGGGCCUGGCUGGCGUGGCCACUUCACCUUUCGAGGGGAGGAGGAGCCCCCCCUGCAGGGGUGGGACCUGGGGAACCAGCCAGCCAGCCUGACAGGUGUCAGAAUCCCCUGGGACAGAGCAGGACCUGGGCUGAACCCCAAGGACAACGGACACACACCCCACACAGCUUCCUCCUGGGGUGGCUCUCUGCUCUGUAGCACGGGCUGGGGCCCCUCAUUCAUGGAUGAGGAACCUGAGGCCCAAAGAGAACAGUGCCUCUGUAAGGUAAACAGCGAGACCCCCUCACCUUCUGUUCAGGCAGAAGGAGGGUCCAGGCAGCCGCAGUAAGCAGGCAGACACUGCCCCUGCCCUCUGGCUCUGCCCACAUGACUUGAAGCUGCACUCAUGCGCCUGCCUGCAUCCUUUGCUCCAGCAGGUCUCCUACCUGGAGUCGCUCCCUUCCAUAACCUCCUUGGAAUGCUGCUCACCACUCCCGCCCGGCCCUCGCCGAGUGCUCCGAAGCACAGGCUGGUUCCCGUCGCUGGCACUUAGGCGGCUGCGCCUGGGGUGCAUCAUCCUGGCCUUGUCUCAGUCCUUCCAGACCAAGAGCCCCAGCGAGAGCAGCGGCUGCACGGGAUCCAUUCCUGUGGCCUCAAAGAGCCUAGAAAAGUGCCUGGUGUUGAGCAGGCCUUCAGUGUCUGUGGAAUUGAAUUAGAACAACCCAAGACACUCGAUGCAGAAACCCAGGAGCAAAUUCGGCUGCGUGUGAACCAGGGAGGAGGCCGAGGAGCCCGGGUGGCCCACGGCAGGAAGGAGGCGUGUUCCUUCUCUGCUUGCUCAGGCUCAGCCUGCUCCUCACCCAUCCACCCAUCGCUGAGGGGUUGAGCCUCUGGGUGGGUCAGCCCUGGCUGAGUGCCGUGAAGGCAAAGGCGGGGAGCUCAUGCUCUGCAUUCUGUGUGGAGCUUCUGGAGCACAUGGGCAUCCUGGCCAGGGACCCAGAGGCACUGGAAGGUGCAUUUUCCCGGCCCAGUGAUUAGGUGUUUGCAUGGAGCUAGCUCAGGGCAGAGCUGGGCACACAGUGCAGAUUUCAUCACCUACAUGAGACCCUCUAGGACUCUCUCUUGUCCUGAGCAGGCAGUUCUGUGGCCUAAGGCCAUAGGGCCACCCAGGGAUCAGUAGUGGGGGGGCUCCCUAGUCUCCACAGGAGGCCUCCAUAUAUGGUAAGGGUGUGUCCAAGGCGACUGUCCCCUCUGUCACCAAUUCUCAGACAUCAGGAAGGGAAGAAAGGGCAUGCGGACCAGCAGUUGAUCUUUAGGAAGUUGACCCAGGAGCAUUUGGUUUUUGAUCAUAUCUGGUCUGCCUAAACUUUGUCAUGUGGCCAUACCUACCACAAAGGCCUCUGGGAAAUGUAGUUUCUUGUGGGGCAGCCACACACCCAGCUUAAACUCGGCAAGGUUUAUUGUUCAAAUGAAAAAGAGUAUGGAUACUGGGGACAGUUGGUGGUCUCGGACUUACUCCCACCCACCCUGAACAGUGCCUGGUUCUCCUCAUGGGCCUUCCAUGCCUACCCCCGCCCCCCACCCCCAGCUGGAUCACCAGCCACCAUCCAGCUCCGAAUGACCUUGGGCGUCCUUUUCCUCAUCUGUAAAAGAAGAGUUUCAGACCACGGAUCACUGAGGUUCCUUCCAGCACUGCCACUUGACGUCCGUGGUUACAGGCGAGUUAUUCAACCACUCUGGGUAUCAAUUUCCUCAUCUAGAAAAGAGAUUAAAAUAGUUCUUACCUCAGAGGCUUGUUGUGAAAUCAUCCCGGGUUAUGCCUGACAUAUAAGAAAUAAUCAAUAAGUGCUUGCUAUAAUCAAAAUAAUCUGAGUUCCGUCUGUCAUUUCCUUAGGAAGAAUCUGAUGUACUGGCUCAUACCGAGGCCUCACACAGGGUCAGUAAGUACUUGGCACAAUCCCUGCCCUAAUCCUCCCUCUGUAACAGGAACAGACGUCGUUAAUCCAUCAAGACGUUCUCCGUGUGAGCCAGGAGCCAGCCUCACAGGCCUCCAUGCAGCCCCGCCAAUCAACCCAAGAUGGCACCCCCUCCUCCAGGAAGCCUCCUUGCUUCAGCCCCAGUGGCCUUUAUGUGUAGGAAGUUCUUUACCAUUCAAACCGGCCCAUGCUUCUCUGGUUUCCUGCGGCAGCUUCACCUCUAACUCGGCGUUGGCCCAGCCCGCCCCGGGUUGGCAGGUGGCUGAAUGCUCCUGGGCUCCUGUUUCCCCAGAGCGAGGGGGUUGGGCUAAACCAGACCUUCCCAACGCCGUCCGACAUGCUUCGUGGAAAACGGGUUUCCUGGGCAAAGACGUUUGGAAAAUGCAGGUUGCAUCAAAAGUUCUGAGAAAUCAUACAAUAAAACAGCGAUUUUCAACCGGUGUGCCGCAAGAAUUUUGACAACACGCAAUACCUGCCUGUUUGGUCAGGGGCACGACCUCUUUUCCGGCUCAGGGGAUACCUUGUUACCUGUGGUCACCCCCUUCCACAGAGGAGCGAAGGGAGGCUCUCCCGCCAGCUGUUUUAAGCCUGAUUUUGUCCCCAUUGAACUUUAACCCCAUUGUUCAAUGGUGUCUGAAGAGAUGGUCAGAGGCCAUAACAUUGCCAUAGGCUUGCUCCUCCUUCAGCUGUCCCCCUAGUAGUUGACAUUUGUUCCUGUUUUACCUUAAAAUGCGAACAACGCAAUGGUGGACAAACUUGCCCGUUUUGCAUGUUUUAUUUCCCGGAGGUAGAUUUCUGGAAGUGGCGUCACUGGGUGAGAGGAUGUAAACUCGUUACUGUUCGUCCUGUGUGUCGUCAAGCAGGUUUCCAGAAAAGAAAGGCCGAGCCCCCGACACCCCUGAGCAGUGUGGGCCGCGCCAGCCGAGGUGGACCAGUGACCCGAUAGGGCCUCCGUCCUGUUCUCAUCCACUGGGACGACCCCUAAAACGGACCUGACCCAGCCUCACGCUCAUGAAAACAGGUUAGCCAGUAACUGGAAGCAGUCAGUCCCACAGGCCCGUGGAAAUCCCCGGGCCCCUUCCCACAGAACCUAAUUGUCGUAGAUAAUAAAUCCAGAGGGAGUGGCGAGUCCUGCCAGCACUCUCGAGUCAGCAGCUCUGUGCUGCGGUCUCAGGUGUCAUCUGCUGGGACAACGCCAGUCCUGGUGAGAAAUAUGGGGCUUGGAGUCUGUCGUCAUCAAGCCAGGCAAUCAUCAUCAUUCCCAACAUGGAUUGAGUAUUUACUCAGGACAUUGUGCGGAUUAACUAGUCUAAUUCUGAUAAUAAUUCUAGGAGGGAGGCUUUCUCACUAUGCCCAUUGUGACAGUGGGAUGAGGAAACGAAGGCACAGAAAGGUUGAGUAACUUGUCUGAGGUCACACAGUAAGUAGGUUGUGAAGACCCAGGGGAUGGGGCUGAGACAGGGGAAGCAGUGGGCCUGUGCUCUGCAGCUGAGGAGUGAGCAGGCAAGCUCCUAAACUCCCAGAAACUCCGAAACUGUCUGUAAAACCAGGACCCUGACAGUUUCCAGUGAGGUAGGGUGGUGCCUGCUGUCCUGGCCUGUCCCUGAGCUUCCCCUGCUGCUGUUCCUCCUGUAGCCGCCUCUGCUUCCUUAGCUCUCUAUGCGGAGGGCUGCCCGAGCCUGGACCCAGCUUCCCCAGCGCCUGCCUUUUGCAUUGGAUGCAGCUCUGUCACCUUUGGGCCUCUGAGGAUCAUGUCCCCCUUCUGUAGGGGUCCCCCUCCCCAGCCCAACCUCCCCGUGGCCUGUGGCUUUAUCUACUCCACUCUUUUUAAAAAAAUAUAGAUUUUAUUGAUUUUUUACAGAGAGGAAGGGAGAGGGAUAGAGAGUU